CAAGAGCGUAUGUAAAAGUUGUUGCAGUUAAAAAGCUCGUAGUUGAACCUUGGGUUUGGUUGGCCGGUCCGCUUUUUUGCGAGUACUGGAUUCAACCGAGCCUUUCCUUCUGGCUAACCAGUCGUUUCGGCGGCUGGCGAACCAGGAUUUUUACUUUGAGAAAAUUAGAGUGUUCAAAGCAGGCAUUAGCUUGAAUAUAUUAGCAUGGAAUAAUAGAAUAGGACGUUAUGGGUCUAUUUUGUUGGUUUCUAGGACCAUCGUAAUGAUUAAUAGGGACGGUCGGGGGCAUCAGUAUUCAGUUGUCAGAGGUGAAAUUCUUGGAUUUACUGAAGACUAACUACUGCGAAAGCAUUUGCCAAGGACGUUUUCAUUAA
rnacentral:rRNA from 1 species